UACGGGGGGGGCAAGCGUUGCUCGGAAUCACUGGGCGUAAAGGGUGCGUAGGCGGCUGUGCAAGUCUGGCGUGAAAGCCCCGGGCUCAGCCCGGGAAGUGCGCUCGAAACUGCACGGCUCGAGUGCCGGAGGGGAGAGUGGAAUUCCUGGUGUAGCGGUGAAAUGCGUAGAUAUCAGGAGGAAUACCGGUGGCGAAAGCGACUCUCUGGACGGCAACUGACGCUGAGGCACGAAAGCGUGGGGAGCAAACAGG
rnacentral:rRNA from 1 species